GAUGAACGCUGGCGGCGUGCCUAAUACAUGCAAGUCGAGCGAACGGACGAUAAGCUUGCUCCUCUGAUGUUAGCGGCUGACGGGUGAGUAACACGUGGAUAAGCUACCUAUAUUACUGGGAUAACUUCGGGAAACCGGAGCUAAUACUGGAUAAUAUUUUGAACCGCAUGGUUCAAAAGUGAAAGACGGUUUUGCUGUCACUUAUAGAUGGAUCCGCGCUGCAUUAGCUAGUUGGUAAGGUAACGGCUUACCAAGGCAACGAUGCAUAGCCGACCUGAGAGGGUGAUCGGCCACACUGGAACUGAGACACGGUCCAGACUCCUACGGGAGGCAGCAGUAGGGAAUAUUCCGCAAUGGGCGCAAGCCUGACGGAGCAACGCCGCGUGAGUGAUGAAGGUCUUCGGAUCGUAAAGCUCUGUUGUUAGGGAAGAACAUAUGUGUAAGUAACUGUGCACAUCUUGACGGUACCUAAUCAGAAAGCCACGGCUAACUACGUG
rnacentral:rRNA from 1 species